UACGGAGGGGGCUAGCGUUGUCCGAAGUUACUGGGCGUAAAGCGCGCGUAGGCGGGUUGGUAAGUCCGCUGUGAAAGCCCGGAGCUUAACUCCGGAGGGUCGGUGGAUACUGCCAGUCUUGAAGGUGCUAGGGGGAGAUGGAAUUACCGGUGUAGCGGUGAAAUGCGUAGAUAUCGGUAGGAACACCAGUGGCGAAGGCGGUCUCCUGGGGCAUUCUUGACGCUGAGGCGCGGAAAGCUGGGGGGAGCGAACGGG
rnacentral:rRNA from 1 species